GUUUCAGCCUGGCAGCGGCUGACACAAUCCCAGUGGCGACUUCAAAGCCAGUGCCUGCCACUGCUCCAAAAAACCUCAGCCUGCUCUACAAAAUCUCAAGCCCACAGAUAGUCGUGUACGCACAAUACCUGUUUGAGGCACCACAGGGAAUGAAGCCACAGACAAAUGUGAUCAGAACUGCUGAAACUUUGAAACUGCUAGCACUGGGCGCCAGAGCUCAAUGCAUCGAAACGCUCAGAUAAAGAGAUCAGAUCAAAAUGUAUGUGGAAAAAUACCAGGACUGCCAGGCUUUUGAAUUCAGUAACCAAUUCUGCUGCAUGAAUUUAGGAACACAUUUUUUGUUCCCACAACUUGCUUCAAGCAACUUCUUCUUCCCUAAGUGCUGACUGAACCAAUUAUCAAGAGUGUCACAAGAAUGGAGAAAAAUAUUCUAUUACCAAAGACCAUGCAGCUUUGCAAUGACCAGAAAAAAGGCUGGUGGGAGCAACAAUCCAAGAUCCAUCCCCAGUUGCAAGAACUGCUGAGCAGUACUGCUAAGCAAGUACUCCACAACUACCAGGGUCAGAACAAGAGUGGUGUAUGAACAUCUCCGCACAGUUAUCCUGCCUAGAGUCACGUACCAAGGACACACAGGGUAAAAAGCUAAUUCAGUACCAGGACACAUGGAAGAAUCUGGCUUCAUUUUUUUCCUUUCUUUUUCUCCUGUUACUUUAUUCCGGAAGCAAUGUAUAUGAAAGAGAAAACUUAUCUGGGGAUUAUUUAUUUUUUGCUAGAAAAUAAGACAUUUAGUAGUACUCCUGCUAAUCUAUAUCGGACACUGAACAAAUGAUUUAAAAGAGCUGGUGCAGGUGGGAAUUGCUGUCCAUACAAGUAGAUUACGCUGGAAAUCAACAUACAUUGUGAAAUAUUUCUGAAAUAAUCCAGUAUUGUCACCUAGUUAUUCCAAGCAUGACGUAAAGGUCUUUCACAGAUGGGUUUAAAGCAGGAUCAACCCAUAAAUGCUUUUUAUUUUACAAUACUUUUAUUCUCUUUCACAGAUUUGACUAUUACAGCAGUGAAAGUAUUACAAGUGACUCAUAACAUUUAGUUCCAAAUAAAAGUAGAAAAACACAAAAACACUAAGGGAAAGUUAAAUGAGAUAUGAUGUGUGGUAAAUGUGUUUUCAGAGCACAGAAAAAAUAUAUAAAAAUACAUUAGGAUCAAGAAAUUUACUGACAGGUUUUGAUUUAGUUACAAUUUUGACACCAUCUAGAAAGCACAGUAUAUUGAAAACUGUUAAUUAGAAAGGUGAUAAAUCCAACAGUAUAUAAAAGGAAAAAAUGAAAAAGAAAAAUGAAAGGAGGGGUGUGUGUGUUGCGGGGAAGUCUAUUUUAUGGCAAACUUCCAGUCCUUUGGCCACUAUAAAGCAAAGUCUGUGGAUUUCAUAUAAAUUCUCUGUAUAAAGGAAUGUCUAUGAACUGUGUACAGUAUGGCCCAGAAUAAACAUCUCAUUAUCAGGCUAAUAGAGCUCCUCACAGAGGAAAAUAAGGUGCUUAUGUCACGGUUUCGACUUCCCAAUAUAAUACUGUCCGGAAUUGGACUAGUGCCCCAAAAUAACAUUUUAGGAACAACACAAAUUCCUUUAAUGGAAAGGAAAUGCAGUAACCUGCCGAUGCUGUAGAAGCAGGGUGCUGGGCAAUGGCCUCACUACUGCACACUUGCUUUAUUUUUAAAGUCUGUGUGGUUGACUGGCAGGGGGUGAGCCUCUGUGUUGAACACCCAGUCGUCCAGGGACAGCACAUCAUCUUCACAGAACAGAAGAUAGAGGUACCUGGAGCCAUAAGGCAAGGGUGGGAGGGAAGAAGACGGACAAAAG